AAGAAUUAAAGAAUACUUCAUCUCUUUCUGUACAGUCUAGCAAUUUGUUUCUUAUUUUUCUUAAAUACUUUAUAAAUCAACAAAGACCAUUAUACAAAUACUAGAUUACCUGUUGGUAACAGCAUGGACGUACUCUCAUUUUUAUGGUACUUUUGCCUUGCUGAGAAGGAGCCUGGAAUUUUAAUCUGGAGAAACCUGAGCUUUAAUUUUAUGUUUGUCUAGUUUUCCAAGCACAGUGGGAUUCUGCUUUAUGAGUUAGGAUUUUCUAUAUAAAUGGGUUGGAAAUAAUAAUACAGUGUUGCAGAGGGAUCGCAGCAAAUCCAGGUUGAAUACGGGCUGAAUGAGAAGAUGGAAUUCAGGCUAUAUGUUGAGUGAAGGAACUGGGAAGUGAAUGAAGAAGACCCGCUUUUUACAUUGUUUGCUGAAGAUGCAGGGACAUUCACAGAACAACCGCUCUCCUGAAGACCAAAAUGUGAAUUUUACAUACAGAAGAUGCACAAAAAUAGAAUAGAAGAGUAUGUAGAAGAGGAGAUACUUACUGUACAGUAACUGCAACUCCUUGAGAACGUGCCUCAAGACGUAAUGCUGAAGUUUUUGCUGUGUGAACCUUCUCCAUCUGGCUUGAGUAGCUCUAUGGGAACCUGCCAUGAUUGUUUACUACGAAGAAUGCAAUGGAGAAGGGUGCCUCUGUGCUGGUUGAGCAAAGCCCCUUUGAUGGAGUCUCUGGAGCGGAGCUGGGGAGCUCCAGCAGCGCUGUCCCUACCCCAGAGCACAGCGGAGAGAAGGCUCGCUCCAAACUCGGACUGUCCAGCAGCAAAGCAGGAUGAAGUAACUCUCAGGACACUUCCAAGCACCUUGCCUGUGUUCAUCUUCCAAAGUGUUCCUGCAGAUGGAAACUGCAAAGCAGCCAUUGGAAACUCCACUUAA
rnacentral:lncRNA from 1 species